ACUCCCCAGGUUGGUCUGGCUCUGAGCCUCAGGUCUGAGCUGUGCUUAACUUCUGCCAGGCUGACCUCCACCCCCAUCCCUGGCCUCUGCCUCCAGGCACCUGGCUUGCGGGUCCUCGCAGGAGCCAUGGACCCCCGAGCAAUGUUUUCAGCCUGACUCCCAGGUGGCAGAGCAAAGAGUCUCAAAGCCCCGAGGCCCAGCAGCUGCAGGAGAGCUCUCUCCAACCAGAGAGCCUGCCCUUGAGUGAAUGUGACUGCCACCUGGACACCUGCAGGAUACCCGAAGUACCCAGGUUGAUUUACCCCAAGGCCCAGGUCCUCAAACCCACGAGAGUGGACGUGCUGGUCAUGACUCCCUGGUUUGCUCCCAUCAUCUGGGAUGGGACCUUUGAUUCUGCUGUCCUGGAUGCACAGUUCAGAAACACCACCAUUGGCCUGACCGUGUUUGCCAUCAAAAAAUCAAUCUGACCCCAAAGGCUGGGCCUGCACAGGAGCCAGAGAAGGUGGCCUCUGAGCCCAGGCUUGGAGGCUGCACAGAUGAUGCAACGCCGUCCACCUGCUGGGUGGAGAGUGAUGGUGAGGGGCUGUGAGGCAGACCCCGAGACACAUCCCUCGUGUGCCCGAUGCUCCAUGGACAUGGUGGAGGCUGAAGAGGAGGAGGUGCUGCUGGAGGCCGAGCUGAGGUCCAGCUGAUGCCUGGCGUCUCUGGAGAUGAUGAGGAUGUCGCCUCCCGGGACCUGAGGAGUGGAAGAGCAGCAGAGCCCAAACCCUGCAGGGCACCGGGUGCUGGCAUCCGACUUCCAGGGCAUCUAGAAACUGGGGCUCCUUGGUGCCCUUUGGGUAUGGAGUGAGAUGCCCUGGAACUGGGAAGGGCUGUCAGGGAGAAGGGGUGGGGCAGUCGUCAUCCUUCUCUGGCCAUCAGGGGACUCGUGGACAAGCUCAAGUCCAUCCUUUCCACCUUGGGGCUGGAGUGCACACUGAGCGUGUGGGCAGUUUCCCAACUGCCGAGUUCAGGGUUUCCCCUUCACUGCUGUCUCGAACUGGAAAUGGAGCUUCCGAUGGUCUUGGGCUCCAAGAUGCGGGACUGGUGGCUGGACGGAAGGGCAGGCUUUGCUGUUGUCAGAUCUGCUGGGUGGUGGAUGCUCUUGGGUGCCCGUGGACAUAGGGACCAGUGACCCAAACUUGGACAGGUGUGAGGGAAGUACACAGAGGCAGUGCCUGGUGGUGGUGGGUAGGGCUCCAUGCCCAUGGGCAGUGCUCCCUUGCAGAAUUCAGCAAGGGUCUGUGAGAGGCCAGGUCAGCCUGUUGAUGGGCAGGCAUCAAAGCCUGGGGGCAGGAGAGGUUCAGGUGAAGCUGUAUUCUGGGGGUGCCCUGGUAGCAGGUCCACGCCAGUCUGUAUUGCUUAUCUGUCCAACAACCUGGUCAUGGGGAGACUGGCCCUGUGGCUGACUAUUGUUUGGGGCUGUGAGAAGAUACCCUUGAUUAGCUAGACCAAGAAGAACAAAGUAAACCAAAGAGUUAGCAGAACAAAGGAAAUAAUGAAAAUUAGAGCAGAGAUAAAUGGAACAGGGGAGCACUGGAGAAGAUCAAUGAAACCAACAGUUCUUUCUUUUAAAAAAUUUACAAAAAAUUGACAAAUGUGGGGCCGCUUGAUGCCGAUAAGUUGCUUAACAUAGAUGAAAUGGAUAAAUUCCUAGAAACACAAACUCCUGAAACUGACUGAAGAAGAAAUGGAAAACCUAAGUAGACCUGUAAUAAGUAAAUAAACCGAAGCAGUAAUAAGAACUUCCCAACAAAGAAAAACCCAGAACCUGAUGCCCUCACUGGUGUCUUGUCUCAAGCAUUUAAGACAUAAGAUUGAUCCUUCCCAGACUCUUCAAAAAGUACCAGAGGAGGGAACACUUUUUAACUCAUUUUGUGAUGUUGACAUUAACCUGACUCCAGGGACCUCACAAGAAAAGACGUCUAUGAGCCAAAAUCCAUUAGGAAUGGAGAUGCAGGAAUCCUUUGUAAAACACUGACAGGCAAAAUCUAGCCUCACAUUGAAAGGAGUCUACAUCAGGACCACGUAUGAUUUAUCCCAGGAAUAAACGGCUGUUGAAUGUAAUUAAUCAUUGUCAUACACUGCAUGAUAACAAACACACGGUCGUCUCAACUGAUGCAAAGAAUGCAUUUAAGCACUUGAAGAAACCAAGCCUGUUCAUAGUACGUGUUCUCCAUAAAAUGGAAGAGCAUUUCCUCCACGUAACAAUGGGUGUUUGUAAGAAGAACUCAUAGGUACAUCACAGUGGAGAAAGACUGCAGUUUUCUCCCGAAGAACAGGAACAAGUCAGUGAUGCCCACUUUUGCCUCUUGGUUUCAAUGUCAUAAAGAAGUUUGGCAAGAGCAGUUAGAUAUGACAGAUCAGCAGAAUUAAGAAUCAAGGAGUUCCCGUCGUGGUGCAGUGGAAAUGAAUCCGACUAGGAACCAUGAGGUUUCGGGUUCAAUCCCUGGCCUCGCUCAGUGAGUUAAGGAGCCAGCAUUGCUCUGAGCUGUGGUGUAGGCCGAAGAUGUGGCUUGGAUCUGGCAUUGCUGUGGCUGUGACAUAGGCCAGUGGCUACAGCUCCGAUUAGACCCCUAGCCUGGGAACCUCCAUAUGCCAUGGGUGUGGCCCUAGAAAAGAC
rnacentral:lncRNA from 1 species